GAUGAACGCUGGCGGCGUGCUUAAUACAUGCAAGUCGAGCGAACGGACGAGAAGCUUGCUUCUCUGAUGUUAGCGGCGGACGGGUGAGUAACACGUGGAUAAUCUACCUAUAAGACUGGGAUAAUUUCGGGAAACCGGAGCUAAUACCGGAUGAUCUUUUGAACCGCAUGGUUCAAAAGUGAAAGACGGUCUUGCUGUCACUUAUAGAUGGAUCCGCGCUGCAUUAGCUAGUUGGUAAGGUAACGGCUUAUCAAGGCAACGAUGCAUAGCCGACCUGAGAGGGUGAUCGGCCGCACGAGAACGGGGACACGGUCCAGACUCCUACGGGAGGCAGCAGUAGGGAAUCUUCCGCAAUGGGCGAAAGCCUGACGGAGCAACGCCGCGUGAGUGAUGAAGGUCUUCGGAUCGUAAAACUCUGUUAUGAGGGAAGAACAUAUGUGUAAGUAACUGUACACAUCGUGACGGUACCUAAUCAGAAAGCCACGGCUAACUACGUG
rnacentral:rRNA from 1 species